rnacentral:rRNA from 1 species
ACGGAAGGCAGCAGUAGGGAAUCUUCGGCAAUGGGGGCAACCCUGACCGAGCAACGCCGCGUGAGUGAAGAAGGUUUUCGGAUCGUAAAGCUCUGUUGUAAGAGAAGAGCGUGUGUGAGAGUGGAAAGUUCACACAGUGACGGUAACUUACCAGAAAGGGACGGCUAACUACGUGCCAGCAGCCGCGGUAAUACGUAGGUCCCGAGCGUUGUCCGGAUUUAUUGGGCGUAAAGCGAGCGCAGGCGGUUUAAUAAGUCUGAAGUUAAAGGCAGUGGCUUAACCAUUGUUCGCUUUUGAAACUUUUAGACUUGAGUGCAGAAGGGGAGAGUGGAAUUCCAUGUGUAGCGGUGAAAUGCGUAGAUAUAUGGAGGAACACCGGUGGCGAAAUCGGCUCUCUGGUCUGUAACUGACGCUGAGGCUCGAAAGCGUGGGGAGCAAACAGGAUUAGAUACCCUGGUA